AAUCCUUUAACGAGGAUCUAUUGGAGGGCAAGUCUGGUGCCAGCGGCCGCGGUAAUUCCAGCUCCAAUAGCGUAUAUUAAAGUUGUUGUGGUUAAAAAGCUCGUAGUUGGAUCUCAGUUCGAGUCAGGCGGUCCACUUGCCAGUGGCUACUGCCUGACUGAACACUUUACCGAGUUGUCCUAUGGUGUUCUUCACCGAGCGUCAUAGGCGAUCGGUACGUUUACUUUAAAAAAAUUAGAGUGCUCAAAGCAGGCGUAACGCCCGAAUAAUGUUGCAUGGAAUAAUGGAAUAGGACCUCGGUUCUAUUUUGUUGGUCUUCGGAAUCAGAGGUAAUGAUCAAUAGGGACAGACGGGGACAUUCGUAUUGCGGCGCUAGAGGUGAAAUUCUUGGACCGUCGCAAGACGAACUAAAGCGAAAGCAUUUGUCAAGAAUGUUUUCAUUAAUCAAGAACGAAAGUUAGAGGUUCGAAGGCGAUCAGAUACCGCCCUAGUUCUAACCAUAAACGAUGCCAACCAGUAAUUCGUCUGAGUUCCUUAAAUGACUCGACGAGGGACUUCCGGGAAACCAAAGUCUUUCGGUUCCAGGGGAAGUAUGGUUGCAAAGCUGAAACUUAAAGAAAUUGACGGAAGGGCACCACCAGGAGUGGAGCCUGCGGCUUAAUUUGACCCAACACGGGAAAACUCACCCGGCCCGGACACUGGAAGGAUUGACAGAUUGAGAGCUCUUUCUUGAUUCAGUGGGUGGUGGUGCAUGGCCGUUCUUAGUUGGUGGAGUGAUUUGUCUGGUUAAUUCCGAUAACGAACGAGACUCUAGCCUACUAAAUAGAUCGUCGGCUUACAAACGCCGGCGAGACUUCUUAGAGGGACAGGCGGUGAUUCAACCGCACGAAACAGAGCAAUAACAGGUCUGUGAUGCCCUUAGAUGUCCGGGGCCGCACGCGCGCUACACUGAAGUGAUCAGCGUGCUUUUUCAACCUACUCUGUCAAGAGUGGGGAACCCAAUGAACCUUCUUCGUGAUUGGGAUAGGGGAUUGUAAUUAUUCCCCUUGAACGAGGAAUUCCCAGUAAGCGCGAGUCAUAAGCUCGCGUUGAUUACGUCCCUGCCCUUUGUACACACCGCCCGUCGCUACUACCGAUUGAAUGUUUUAGUGAGGUCUUCGGACUGGCCGGCGCAGCACUCUCGUAGUGCAGCGCUGUGUUUGGAAAGAUGCCCAAACUUGAACAUUUAGAGGAAGUAAAAGU
rnacentral:rRNA from 1 species